rnacentral:lncRNA from 12 species
GGCUCUCAGGUGAGAGGCUGCGGGGGAAGCGCAGCUCCUGGAGCAGGAUGAGCUCGAAGAGCCGCUCGUGGUCGGGGCUGUAGAAGGGGAGGCGCCCGCAGAGCAUCUCGUACAUGACCACGCCCAGCCCCCACCAGUCCACCGCCCGCCCGUAGUCGUUGUCCUCCAGCACCUGCGGACAGGUGCGGGUGUCAGCUGGCAGCACCUGGCAGCGACAGGUGUGAGCUGACAACACCUGGUGACAGCACCUGGCAGGGACAGGUGUGAGCUGUGAGCACCUGAGAGACGCAGGUGUGAGCUGUGAGCACCUGGCAGGUGCAGGUGUGAGCUGACAGGGGCACACAGGGCACAGGUGUGACCUGCCAGGACCUGAACGGGGGUCAAAGGGCACAGGUGUGACCUGCCAGGACCUGCCCGCGCCGACUCCACCCCCCGGAAAAUUCCAGGAUAUUUUUCCCCCAGGAAUCCCAGGGAAUUGGG